rnacentral:rRNA from 1 species
GACGAACGCUGGCGGCGUGCUUAACACAUGCAAGUCGAACGGAAAGGCCCUGCUUUUAUGGGGUGCUCGAGUGGCGAACGGGUGAGUAACACGUGAGUAACCUGCCCUUGACUUUGGGAUAACUUCAGGAAACUGGGGCUAAUCCCGGAUAGGACCUCCUGCUGCAUGGUGGGGGUUGGAAAGUUUCGGCGGUUGGGGAUGGACUCGCGGCUUAGCAGCUUGUUGGUGGGGUAGUGGCUUACCAAGGCUUUGACGGGUAGCCGGCCUGAGAGGGUGACCGGCCACAUUGGGACUGAGAUACGGCCCAGACUCCUACGGGAGGCAGCAGUGGGGAAUAUUGCACAAUGGGCGGAAGCCUGAUGCAGCAACGCCGCGUGCGGGAUGACGGCCUUCGGGUUGUAAACCGCUUUCGCCUGUGACGAAGCGUGAGUGACGGUAAUGGGUAAAGAAGCACCGGCUAACUACGUG